GACGAACGCUGGCGGCGUGCUUAACACAUGCAAGUCGAACGGAAAGGCCCUGCUUGCAGGGUACUCGAGUGGCCAACGGGUGAGUAACACGCGGGUGAUCUGCCCUGCACUUCGGGAUAAGCCUGGGAAACUGGGUCUAAUACCGGACAGGUGCCAUUUUUAGCGUGAUGGUUGGAAAGUUUUUUCGGUGUAGGGUGAGCUCGCGGCCUAUCAGCUUGUUGGUGGGGUAAUGGCCUACCAAGGCGGCGGCGGGUAGCCGGCCUGAGUGGGUGGACGGCGACAUUGGGACUGAGGUACGGCCCAGACUCCUACGGGAGGCAGCAGUGGGGAAUAUUGAACAAUGGGCGCAAGCCUGAUGCAGCGACGCCGCGUGGGGGAUGACGGCCUUCGGGUUGUAAACUCCUUUCGCUAGGGACGAAGCUUUUUGUGACGGUACCUAGAUAAGAAGCACCGGCUAACUACGUG
rnacentral:rRNA from 1 species